CCACAGGUCAGGACAGUUUCUGUAUGUUUGCUAUUCUUAAAUAAGUAAUGCCAGCAGGUUGACAAAAUUCCAGCCAUGACUGUGGUAGUUAAUAUCUUUCAAUAUAUAUUCCCAGUGUUGGUGGUGUCCAUAGCUGUGGUACUCCUCUGCUUCUAUCUGCACGCAAAAAAGAAAAGAGCAGCAUAUGACGUCACCA